CACUGUUAAAAGGAUGAUUUGUGGUCCUCCUUGGCUGGAGAAAAUCAGAGCCUACAAGGGUAAAAGAGAGGGAUGAGUAGGAGAGACCCUGCUUGUCAUUGCUAGACCACCUGGGACUCUUCUUCACUGGCAUGGCCACCUGCAACUGCUUCCAGAACCUGCCCUGAGGAUACUUGGAUUUCUCUCCUUUCCAUUUAAUGACCGUGAGCACCGUCUUAGCCCGCUUCAGCUCUUUCACCUUCAUGUCCUUCACAGCUUUGUACUGCACUAAAAUGACGUUGAUGUUGCCCCGGGAGGCCAUAUUUUCUAGGCCAGCCUUGAGCUCCAGGAGGGCUUGUGUUCCCUGGAGCACGUAGUUGGGACUUA
rnacentral:lncRNA from 1 species